AGGGUUUCGGGCGCCUCCCGUGUUCUUGCCCCCCUCUCUCUCGCGCGACCUCUCUGCCCCUGCCUCCGGUCUACCUCGCCGCCGCUGCCGCCAGAGGUAGCUCCCCCUCCCUUCCUUCCCCUUCCUCCUCCGCCCGCCCUUCUCUCUCCUGCUUCCUCCCGGCGGCCGAUGAUGGGCGCAGACGAGGAGGAGCACCAGUCCCCCUCGUGGAAGCGCGAGCGCGAGGAGGAGGAGGAGCCCGCGGCCGCCGACAAGAAGCGCCGGCGCACGGCGGACGAGUCGGAGGGCGCCUCGCUGAUGGGGCUUGCCAACUACGCGGACGAGGAGGAGGAGGAGCGCGGGGCCCCGAGGGGGCACGGGAACGGCGGGCCCUGGGAGGAGGAGGAAGACGAUGAGGAUGAGGAGGAGGACGAGAGGAGGGCUCCGGAGAGGCGGCCCAGGCAGGUCGAGCUGCCCCUACCUCGACACUGUCAACCGACUAGCUUCGAUCUACCAUGUCCUUAGCGGCAGCAACAGAAUGUCUGAAGAAGCAUCUGCCAGUAUCAGUGCCAGAGGGACUGAACGAACUUCAAAUCAUCGUUGUGCGAUUCAAAGAGAAGAUUUAUACUACAGCGACCAGUCAGGUAAUUUAAUCCGUCUUGGCGGCUACUCGAAGCAGAGCACAGUUUAUUUUAUUUUUAGUUAUGGGGGUCAAACAAGGUUUAUGGGCUAAUAAUAGAGCAGAACUGUCUCCAAAUGUUGUAGAGGAUACUUUUUAAGUCAUGUUUAGUACCAUGUAUAACUAUGAUUCAAAUGUUAAAAGCUGAAGCACCUGCUCGAGCAUGCUAAAUUGCUAAUCAGCCAGAACUAUUGGUUGCAAGCCACCAUUAGUAAUUUGGUCCCAGGCGGUGGUCAUUGCGAUGACACACAUCAGCCCAGAUGAUGUGCUUUACACUUACAACUCGUGCUGACUGAAUCGGAGCAAGCCUCCUGCCAGUUCCACCAUGUAACACUCUGCAGGUUGUCGAAAUAAGAUAGUGCUCUGUAGUGCAUUCCGAUUCAGCUGGGUACCCAGGAGCCCCACCAAUCUGCAGUAAUUAUUCAUCCCAUUGUCGGCAAUUACAAGAUGGGACCCAACUUCAAGAGAGGCCAAAUGGUUUCUCCAUACGGCGGAAUAUCACGAGUACAGAGUAUAUACACAUGUGCAAAGCUCAGGCAGAAUCAGUGGCUGGGACUGGGAGAUGAUCGUCGUUCCAAGUAGCCUCUUGGAUGGUCGUCGGUUCUGGUGGUGAUGCCGAUGAUCGUCCAGAGGUUCGUGGACUGGACGGUGUCAUGGCUGCUGAUGUACGGAGAGGCGAAGCUGCUGCUCGUCAUCUACCUCUGGCACCCCAGCACACGGGGUGCGGGGCACGUGUACGAUGGCUUCCUCCAUCCGCUGGUGGCGUGGCACGAGGCCGACAUCGACCGGGGCCUGCUUGAGCUGAGGGCGAGGGACGUGACAGCGUCACAACUCAAGGCGGUGGCUGCCAUCGGUCAAGUGUGGCUCGUCGAGGCUGCCCGCUGUGUUCCGUCGCAGCUACAGGCCACGAGAUCAGGCCGUGAAGGCGCCACGCAUUGACGAGUUAGCCGAUUUUUGGAUCGGACCGUAACAACGUGUCUCAGUCGAGAAGUAGUGGUAAAGUUUUGAAUUUGCAUGGCAAGAACCACUUGCGUAUGUAGCUGACAUGCACAACACUGUGUUUACAGUCGUACUUAUGUAAAAGAUAUGUUCAAUGAGGAACUGUGAUAGUAGAUACGACAAUUGUG
rnacentral:rRNA from 1 species